UUUUUUAUAGGGGGAUUCAAAUAAGUUUUUGAAAUUUAAUUCUAUGGUUCGAUUCCGUAUAAAAAAA
rnacentral:tRNA from 1 species